CCAAACAUUUGUGGUGCCACAAAUCCCCCAUCCACAAUUGAUGAUACUGAAGAGCUGACCACUGAGAGCAAGUGCAUCCAUACAGCUGUCAGCCACCCAAAUCAGACCAGUCCAGAGCUCGGCCCUCUCACCAAGGCCCUUGAUGACAAAUUGGCUCCAAACAUUUGUGGUGCCACAAAUCCCCCAUCCACAAUUGAUGAUACUGAAGAGCUGACCACUGAGAGCAAGUGCAUCCAUACAGCCGUCAGCCACCCAAAUCAGACCAGUCCAGAGCUCGGCCCUCUCACCAAGGUUGG